UACGGAGGGUGCAAGCGUUAUCCGGAAUCAUUGGGUUUAAAGGGUCCGCAGGCGGUCUUAUAAGUCAGUGGUGAAAGCCUACAGCUCAACUGUAGAACUGCCAUUGAUACUGUAAGACUUGAAUUCGAUCGAAGUGGGCGGAAUAUGACAUGUAGCGGUGAAAUGCUUAGAUAUGUCAUAGAACACCGAUAGCGAAGGCAGCUCACUAGGUCUGGAUUGACGCUCAGGGGACGAAAGCGUGGGGGAGCAAACAGG
rnacentral:rRNA from 1 species